rnacentral:rRNA from 1 species
UGGUCUAUUUGGAAUGAAAGAAAUGCAAGAGUAUUUCGUAAUAAGUCCUCGCCUCCAAUGAUCUUGCUCAACAACAUCAAACUUGAGGCUUCAACUUGGGUGGCCGCGGGCAUCAAAAAGCUAGGGACCAUUAUUCCCGGAGAGUAA